UGCCCAGCAACUCCUAUCCCUACCUCCUCGUGGUACCGGCCGGAAACUACGAGCAACCUUAGGGAAGAUCGGGUAACCAACCCCGGAGGGGAAAUUUGCUGACAGGGAAGA
rnacentral:ribozyme from 1 species